GAUGAACGCUGGCGGCGUGCCUAAUACAUGCAAGUCGAGCGAACAGAUGAGGAGUUUGCUCGUCUGACGUUAGCGGAGGACGGGUGAGCAACACGUGGAUAACCUACCUCUAAGACUGGGAUAACUUCGGGAAAGCGGAGCUAAUACCGGAUAAUAUAUUGAACCGUAUGGUUCUAUAGUGAAAGACGGUUUUGCUGUCACUUAUAGAUGGAUCCGGGCGGCAUUAGCUAGUUGGUUAGGUAACGGGCUACCAAGGCAAGGAUGCGUAGCCGACGUGAGAGGGUGAUCGGCCACACGAGAGCUGAGACAGGGUCCAUGCUACUGCGAGAGGCAGCAGUAGGGAAUCUUCCGCAGUGGUCGAGAGCCUGACGGAGCGACGCCGCGUGAGUGAUGAAGGUCUUCGGAUCGUAAAGCUCUGUUAUUAGGGAUGAACAAAUGUCGAAGUAAAUAUGCACGUCUUGACGGUACCUAGUGAGGAAGCAACGGCUAACUACGUG
rnacentral:rRNA from 1 species